AUUCAUCUGACGAUUCGCGAACAGGACGAAACGCACGUCCUGGAU
rnacentral:hammerhead_ribozyme from 1 species